rnacentral:rRNA from 1 species
AUUGAACGCUGGCGGCAUGCCUUACACAUGCAAGUCGAACGGCAGCACGGGAGCAAUCCUGGUGGCGAGUGGCGAACGGGUGAGUAAUAUAUCGGAACGUGCCCAGUCGUGGGGGAUAACGUAGCGAAAGCUACGCUAAUACCGCAUACGAUCUAUGGAUGAAAGCGGGGGAUCGCAAGACCUCGCGCGAUUGGAGCGGCCGAUAUCAGAUUAGGUAGUUGGUGAGGUAAAGGCUCACCAAGCCGACGAUCUGUAGCUGGUCUGAGAGGACGACCAGCCACACUGGGACUGAGACACGGCCCAGACUCCUACGGGAGGCAGCAGUGGGGAAUUUUGGACAAUGGGCGCAAGCCUGAUCCAGCAAUGCCGCGUGCAGGAUGAAGGCCUUGGUUGUAACUAGCUUUGUACGGUAACG